rnacentral:rRNA from 1 species
CACGAACGCUGGCGGCAGGCUUAACACAUGCAAGUCGAGCGCCCCGCAAGGGGAGCGGCAGACGGGUGAGUAACACGUGGGAAUCUACCCAUCUCUACGGAAUAACGCAUGGAAACGUGUGCUAAUACCGUAUACGUCCUUCGGGAGAAAGAUUUAUCGGAGAUGGAUGAGCCCGCGUUGGAUUAGCUAGUUGGUGGGGUAAAGGCCUACCAAGGCGACGAUCCAUAGCUGGUCUGAGAGGAUGAUCAGCCACACUGGGACUGAGACACGGCCCAGACUCCUACGGGAGGCAGCAGUGGGGAAUAUUGGACAAUGGGCGCAAGCCUGAUCCAGCCAUGCCGCGUGAGUGAUGAAGGCCCUAGGGUUGUAAAGCUCUUUCACCGGUGAAGAUAAUGACGGUAACCGGAGAAGAAGCCCCGGCUAACUUCGUGCCAGCCGCCGCUGUAAAAC